UAAACAUUGAAUGCCGGCAUGGCUUUAAUAUUUUCACAGUUACAAGUGAAUUAAAACAUUUUCAUGGACUACCAUUGCUGGUAUUGUGAUCUAUUUAUCACUGUCGUGCGGUUCCUUGCGUUUCACGAUCAUGGUUUCACAGUCUUCAUAACGGCAUCCUAAUAGUAACAGGCUUUUGCAUUUAACAAAUACUGCACGCCUGGGUUUUGAACCCUCGUACUCCGAGUAUCGCG